GAUGAACGCUAGCUACAGGCUUAACACAUGCAAGUCGAGGGGUAACGAGAGGAAAGCUUGCUUUCCUUGUUGACGACCGGCGCACGGGUGAGUAACGCGUAUCCAACCUGCCCCCAACUAGGGAAUAACCUUGCGAAAGUAAGACUAAUACCCUAUAAUUUCCUCAGAUGUCAUCUGACGAGGAAUAAAGAUUUAUCGGUUGUGGAUGGGGAUGCGUCUGAUUAGCUUGUUGGCGGGGUAACGGCCCACCAAGGCAACGAUCAGUAGGGGUUCUGAGAGGAAGGUCCCCCACAUUGGAACUGAGACACGGUCCAAACUCCUACGGGAGGCAGCAGUGAGGAAUAUUGGUCAAUGGGCGGAAGCCUGAACCAGCCAAGUAGCGUGCAGGAUGACGGCCCUAUGGGUUGUAAACUGCUUUUAUACAGGAAUAAAGUUAGCCACGUGUGGUUAUUUGUAGGUACUGUAUGAAUAAGGACCGGCUAAUUCCGUGCCAGCAGCCGCAGUAA
rnacentral:rRNA from 1 species